UGAAGAAAUGAAGUUUAAAGCUAGGAAACGGAGAACACUUGUGGCAAGUGAGGUGUUAUCCUGAGUGCUUCAGUGGAAUCGGUGCAAAUUAGGGGUGGAGGAGAGUGACUUAAGGCGCCUUUAUUAUUUUAUUUUUUUGCUGCUUAAGAAGGAGUUUUUUUGGGGGUCCGAAUUGCGGAGAGACGCUCCAGCAGAUGUCAUGGCGCUUCCUAUUCUUGGUGCUUGAAAACUUAGUUUAGUUGUGAGAUCAAGGUUAUCUAGGCCUUCUAGGGGUAAGAAAGAAAACUCGGAGGAGAGAAAAAAAAUCUGGCGAGUCCCGAACUUGACUGAGGGUCGGGUAGAAGAAGUCU
rnacentral:lncRNA from 1 species